rnacentral:rRNA from 1 species
UGCAGUUAAAGCUCGUAGUUGGAUUUUGGUUAAGAGGGCGCGGUCGGCCGUUUGGUCUGUACUGCGUUGUCUUGACUUCCUGAUGAGGACAUGCUCUUGGUUAACGCUGAGACAUGGAGUCAUCGUGGUUACUUUGAAAAAAUUAGAGUGUUCAAAGCGGGCUUACGCUUGAAUAUAUUAGCAUGGAAUAACACUAUAGGACUCCUGUCCUAUCUCGUUGGUCUCGGGAUGGGAGUAAUGAUUAAGAGGAACAGUUGGGGGCAUUCGUAUUUCAUUGUCAGAGGUGAAAUUCUUGGAUUUAUGAAAGACGAACUUCUGCGAAAGCAUUUGCCAAGGAUGUUUUCAUUAAUCAAGAACGAAAGUUGGGGGCUCGAAGAUGAUUAGAUACCAUCCUAGUCUCAACCAUAAACGAUGCCGACUAGGGAUUGGUGGAUGUUAAUUGAUGACUUCACCAGCACCUUAUGAGAAAUCAAAGUUUUUGGGUUCCGGGGGGAGUAUGGUCGCAAGGCUGAAACUUAAAGGAAUUGACGGAAGGGCACCACCAGGCGUGGAGCCUGCGGCUUAAUUUGACUCAACACGGGGAAACUUACCAGGUCCAGACA